AAAUAAGAAGUUUAUAUUCAAUAUAAUUCACCUACGUGCCUUAAAUAUUUGGGACUAUUCCAUGUUUUCGCUACAAAAGUGAUGUAUUAUAUGAACAAUAAAUUUAAAUAACAUAGUAAAUCUUUAUUUCUGGCAUAUUGUACCAGGCCUCUACUCUAAUAUUUAUAUAUUCCAAAUGAAUGAAUGAAAUGAAUAGAAAAAAUAGUUUAUGCCAUUCAUUUAAUUGAUACAUAUAUAUUUAUCUUUACUUCAUAAAAUUAGUACUUAAAAUAAGAUUGAUCAAAUAUAUUAAUACGAACAUAAACCAUUUUCUUCACCCGUUGAGAAACUACGAUCGUUAGGGUGAAAUGUUAGGGGAGUUAAUUGGAUUAAAGUGUCCUUUUAAACGCGCAAACUCUUCAAAUACUAAAUGAAAGAAUCAGGAAUUGAAGUUUCUUCGCAGUGAAUGUGCACAUCCAAAAUCCCUUUCUUCGGCUCCACCCCGGUAGAACAAGAUACUAUGGACAUUAUGAAUUUACCAUUUUAAAAAUUAUGCAUACGUAAAAUUGAGCAUUUUUAACGCAUAGAUUUGUCUAACAUUUAACGUUUAUUUUAGUGUAUUUUACGCGGUUCUUUGAUGCCAUAUUGGCUUUUAUUCGAGAAGAGUCGCUGGCUGUAAAUAAAUAUGAAAUAAAACACGUUGGUAACGGCCAUUUUGCGGCGGGAUUUUAAAUGGUGAGUAUCGGAUUAGUUUUGAGUUAUCCUUUACUUUCUUGCUGCCGCGAGGACAAUACAUUCUGUACCUCGUCCAAUGUGCUAUUACAGUAUUACAUGUGGCGGUAUCCCGUAAGGUGACAAAUUCGUUAUCGUUUGCGACGUGACGAUUAAAUUGAAUAUAAUUCUCAUAUUUGUUGUAGCAAAUCGUAGAAAACGUAAGAGACACACUGAUUUUUCUCGUGAUCGGUAUUUCAGAAUGUGAGAUACAAAUAAAUAAAUAAAUCCCAUAAUAAAUCCCGUAUAGUGUCAGGUUUAUUCUGUAUUUAGUCAAUGAUUAAGUCAAUGACUCGACACAGAUAAAAUUAAAAUUACCGUCCCAUUGAUGCGCUUAUGUAACGAAGCAGUACGUCAUUCACACGGUUCAAUGUAUAUUAUCGGAUGACAGUUAAAGACUAAAAUGUAAAAAAAUAAGAUUAAAAAUUAUUCAAUGUUCCCUAGAAAUCAGCAAACUUGUUCACGCGGACGUAUGCAAGUAUAAGAUCCUCUAACCGUUAAUGCAAUGAUGCAUGUCCAUCAACUUAUUUUAUAUAAAGGAAAAGGAGUAGAAGAUCGUGAAAUUCCGUGCUAUAAAUGAUCCUUUGAUACUUUAUAAAAAAAGUUGUAGACUUCAAAACAGUCUACUCACAACAAUGUAUAAAAGAAUAUCAAAGUUCGCUCUAUGGAAUUUGCGAGUGCAGAUGAUUAACGUUUCCUUAAUUAAUCCAACAAAUGAUCUGCAUAAUUGAAGAAGAAUAAUACAGAAAACAUAAAGUGCAUGAUGCAUGCAGUAUUUCUUUCCUUCAGUUUCGUAAUCAAUUAGUUGUUGCUGACGAAAGUGUUGGAUGUACUAUUAAAGUAUAAAUAUAAUCUCGUAAACAAGA